GCCGUGAUUGGCCGCUCCCGCCGCCCGCCAGCGGUGUGGCCCGCCCCGGCCCGGCCCGCCGGCAGGUGCCACGGCAGUCUGCGAGCCCCGCGUCUCUCGGGGCGGGCAUCUCGGCUGCGCUUCCUUUUUUCUCCUUCACAACAGCCGAAAGUUCCCGGGGUGGAGCGGCCCCGCCGCCGGCUCUUCGCAGAGCGCAGCCGCUGCCCCGGCUGCCCGCGGGCCGAAGGGGCUGCCUUUCCCUUCAGCCUGAGCAGCCAGCUUAGACCUUCGCUCUCAAGAGGCUCUGGUGGCGGAGGUUCACCGAAGGGCUUGUAGUUGUGGAGGGAUCUCACGGUCAGGAGGGCACUGUUAAACUUGCUUUCAGCAUACCGAAGCGCCCAGAUGCGCAAGCAGAAGACAGCAGGAUUAACUGGAAAUAGCACAUUUGCAGGUCUUUUGCCUUUAUGUCUUUCCGUCCCACCACCGAAGUAGAAGGGUAAGGAUGUUAACACAGGCAGAAGAUAGUUAAACCCUACUGUGAUUUUAGUACUACCUGACUAUAAAACGAAGCAGCAGCACUUAAUGGAGAAAAGUGUUAUCUAAGGAUGCAAUGAUACUGAUUUCUUACAAAGCCAUCCUUGCAGAAGGCAAAUCUCUGAGCUCAGAUUGAAGAAUGACAAGGGCCUGAUACAGAAAUCUGUGUACUCAUGGGAGCUAUCUCAUUGAACAUGGACUUCUGGAGCAGCCAUGGGAGAGGAUAUUCUUCCUUGGAAGGGAUGGCGGGCAUCACAGCAUAGUGUACCUGUUGUAGAAGAACCAAGGACAACAAAAUAGGCACAGGAGAUAUGGAGACUAACCUGAAUGAUGACACAGAAUUGAGAGGAGCUGUUGACACACUUGAGGGCAGAGAGACCCUGCAGAGGGAUCUGGACAAAUUGGAGAGUUGGGUAAUCACCAACCGAAUGAAGUUCAACAAAGGAGAUGGGCUGUGUAGGAGGAGAAGAGAAUCACUUUGCUUCCAAGAAACAUAAGGAGGAGGUAGUGCUCUACAAAGUUUUGGACCUGUUGGUGUACCUAUGAUUCCUGAGAAGGUUCUGGAGCAACCUAUUAUAAAAAUUGGUUUGUAAGUACCUAGAUGAUUAUAAUCUGAUAAAAUAAAUAACGAAUAAGGAUUGCUAAGAGUAGGUCAUGCCAAGCCUGUUUAAUUUCUGCCUUGGGCAGGCUACGUGGCCUAAUGAGGAAAAAAGGGGGACACAACUAAUGUGAUAAAGUCUCAAUGCCAGUGACAUUUCUGCUGCUUCUCCUUGACACUCCUGUAAGGAAACUCAUGAAAUACAAUGUUAAUGUGAUCGUGAGAAGAAGGGUGAGCGAUGGUUGAAAAUUUGCUCUCAAAGAACAUUCAUCACCUCUUUGCUGUCAAAUUUCAAUUGAAGUUUAGCAGUGCUCUGUUCUGGACCUGGCUCUGUUCAGCAUUUUUCUGAACAGUUUGGAAGAUCAACGAGAGACUGUGGUCAUAAUACUAGUGAAUAGGAGUGGCAUAGGUCAGGGUUGCAAGUACAGUGGACGCGAGCAUCAGAAUUGAACACGUGCUUGAAAAAUUAGAGAAAAUCUGAAAUCAAACAUCUGAAAUUCAGCAAAGACAAAUACAAAAGUCUUCCUCCUUAAGAAGAAGAAAUUCAGCAGACAAACACAAAAUUGGAAGUUAUUAGCUAGGCAGCGUCACAGCAGAAGAAGAUUUUUCUGACUGGACCCUGCAGUAUGACUUAAGAUAGUAUUUUUGUAUCCUACCUCUAAAUGUGAAGAGAAUGAAGCACUGGAGCAAAUUGUCUGUGAUGAUCAUGAAGUCUCCCCUGUUGGACAUUUUUAAAGAACAAGCAAGAUAAACAUAUUUUAAAGAUUUCUGAGUAUCAUUCACUAGAUAGUCUCUCUUUAUCCCCCUGCAGUUGUGGUGUUCUAUGAUCCACAUUACAGAGCUCAAGCUAGGUGUAUGUCAAUAAUCAGAUACUGCUGAGGAAGAGAUGAGCUUUUUUCUGACAAUAAGACUGUCUUUACGUGGGCAGCAGUAGCAAUUGUUCCGUGUUCUGAAGCAGUAGUGAAGUCCCAGCUGGAGUCCUUUGUCUCGUCUCAGCUGGAAGCAGUAGGUGGACACAGUCAAGAGGAAAACAAUAAGCGUGAUAAGAGGUGUAGAAAAUGUGACUCAUAAAAAAAGGAAGGCAAAAACACUGGAUUGAAAAGAGAAGACUGAGAAACCGCACAGCAGCUCAGAAGGGAUUGACGCAGAUGGGGCAACAACUGUGAAUGUCCGUUUAGGGAAGGGAAAGAAUCAGUUUCAACUUUACCUGAAAGAUUUAGGCAGAACAUCAGGUACGUCUUUGUAUCUGAAAGCAUGGCAAAGUUUUAGGACAUAUAACCAAGGGGAACUGAUUUCUUAAAAUGAGAAGAUGAAAGUAUCAGAGAUGGUGUCCAGAAACUUUUAGCCUGCUCCAGUGUAGAAUGCUGGACGAGGUGACCUCCUGAGACUCCUCCUAACCUGCCAGAUCUGUGAAUUUAUCUUUAGCAAGCAUUUAUUUUGGCAUGUAGACAAAGUAUAGGGAAAGGAAGCCAAAUGAAUAUAUCUGGAAACAUCACUGACUUCGAUAAUUAGCACGAGCCUUUUCUGAUGAAAAUAAAAAACCCUAUGUUGCAACAUGCCGCUGUCAGGAUGAUUUAUAAACAUAAUUAUUAUUCCGUUGUUUUUGCAAUUUAUACAGUUCCAGACUCCUAUUAAGGCCUGAAUUUGCUUACAAGGGCCAGGCCACCAUGUAACUUGUGGUAUUUGUGUCCUGCUCUUGUUUAUGCUUUGAUAAGUGUAGUGAAUUUUGGAGGACAUAUUUUGUGAAUCUCUGCAUGGGUCACAAUAUGCUGUUCUUUCAGAAAAAAAACAUGAAUCACAAAGGCAUUACUUUUGGUCUGCCAGUGUCAUUAAGAGUCUAUUGGAAGCUCAUUCCAUUGGCAUAGUUAAAUACAUUUCUGGUAAUUCUCAUCCUGCAGAUUUAUUUCCAAUUUGCUAAAAUCAGCUGGUAAGGGCUGGGACUGCUGCCAGAACACGCCUUGACAUCAAAAGUCUUCAGAUCCUCCAUAAGCAUCUGCUUAAUUGAAGUGGCAGAAAAAGUGUCUGCUGCUUCACCUCUGUUCAGUGGUAAAAAGAAACUGUCUUUGCAUUUGAUAUAUUGGAAAAAGCUGAAAUGUUUGACUGCUAGGUGGAAGAUCAUCCACUGAAUGUGAACCCAAUAGUGACACUGUUUCAUGUGUUUCUGCAUAGAAAUCCGAGUGCAGUAGACACAUGCUGUGCUCUUUCAAAAGCCAAAGAAAUUGCCUUCUUUUCUAGUUAUCUGUAUUACUGUUUAGUGCCUGAGAGGCAAACCUGUUAGUGACUUUUCAUUUAACCAUAAUACCUGCAAAGAUCAUUUCUCUGGAGGAAAACCCAUCUCAUGCUGUAUUACUGGAUAUGUUGGCAGGCAGAAAUAGUGAGCCUCACAUUCCCUUUCCUUAGCAGAGAAUUUGUCAAGAAAACAACCCUUACUAGCUAUGCAGUUGCAUUGAUGUUAAACGAGACAUAAUGACUCUGGGAUAUGUAGUAUGGGUACUGUUAACUGUGGAGUUAAAUGCCAAAAAGAUGAAAAAUAUAUUAAUAAAUGCUUUAGCCAGAAUAUCCACCUUUUGUAAGAUAAAGAAGGGAUCUUAGAACUAAAAAUUCCUCCAUUAAUUUGCCUUACAGCCACACAUUUCAAAGCAGGCAUCUGAGUCCUGCUGAACAGGGCUGCAUGGAGCAGAGAUGGGACACGGCAGGAGAGCUGCUGGGACAGGGGGAAAGGCAACAGCGGUGGUGGGUGACUCGAAGAAGCCUUGCGGGUUGAGGACAUGGGUAUAAACAUGCUUAUCCACAUCGUGCCCCCCCAGCAAGGCUGUCCCAAGCCCUCCUGGCCCAGCAAAGUGGAAGAGCUGCCUCAGCCAGCUGAACAGCUCCAGCCUAGCAGGAGCAGUGCCGUGUGCUGCUGCUUCUGGCUCUCUCUGGGCACACACAAUGGAUUUCCCACCCCAGGGGAAGAGCUGAAGCUGGUGAGGAGCACUGUGGAUGGGUGGGAGGGAAGCAUGGGGGAACUUUUGCCCUUUAGGAACAAAAAUGUAGACCUCCAGACCCACCCUGGGCUUGCCCUGCAUGAACAGGCAUGGUACAGGGUGUAUUUGAAGUGUUACUUUAUGUAUGGUUUUAUCUGAGAGCCUGAGAUCAUGACAUUACAUUUGUCUAUCAGUCAGACUUAAACAUGUAGGGGAUUAAGGCUUUGAUUUGAUUCAGGAAAACAUUUCAACAAGAAGUCACGUCUUCAGCAGAAAAACACUUCAAGGGCUAUGCUGAAUCUGUAAUAAAAAACCUUUUCUUUGAUACUGUAAAGUCUCUGUCAAGAAAGGCAGAUUUCUAAAUGUCUUUAACGGCACUAGCUUAGGCAGUUAUAACAACAGAAUUAAAAAAUGCUAUUGGAAGGGAAAUUAAAAGUAUAUGGCACUUACCAGAAACACUUUAGAUACACUUAAAUGCAGAAAGUUGUGUCAUGCUCCUUAAUCAGUCAUUACAAAUCUGAAAUUCCUAUCAAACACUGAUGGAUGUUUUGUCCUAGUGCAGACUGUAGAACUAUUUACUCUAGGCGCUUCUAACAAAUAGCUUUAACAGGGGUUGUUUUUUUCCCUUUUCACUUUUUUUCCUAAGCUGCUUCUGUAAUUAUGAAACUUUGAGUCUUCUUAUCUUUAUAAUCAUAUCUUGUUAGACCCAACUGUAUAUAACUGAAGAAUGAGCUCUUCCUUUCCUUUGAUAGAGGAAGGCAUAAACCAAACGGACUGGCUGGUACAUAAAACCAGAAAAAUUAAAAUAUAUGUCUUUGAGUACAGUUAUGCAUUGGAACAGACUAAUACGGGACACAGCAAAUUAUCUUCCAGAAGUUUUUAAAUGAAGACUAGAUCCUUUUCUGAAAAUUGACUUUACCAAAAAAUGCCUUGUUGACGGAAACUGGGUGAUGUCUAGUUGCCUCAGUUAUGAAGAAGGUCAGAUAAGAUUAUAUUAAUGGCCUUUUCCAGCUUUAGAAUUGCUGAAUGUUUUAUUGAAUGAGCAAGAGAGUGAAUUUUAAGUACUCAAUUGUUUUAAAUGGAAAAUUCCUUGCAUAACGUAGCACUGUAUUUUCUCCUGCAGUACCUGAUGAAAUUGUUCCUUCCUGAAGAUAAAUAGGGAAGCAUGUCACUUUGCCACAGGCUCUUUAGAAUAACAGACCACCCAAAGGCGUCUUUUUUCUUUUUAUGUGUAACACAAAAAUGAUGAGCACUUCCUAAGGUAUUUUUAGAAAAAUCACAUUUUUGUAAAGUAUGUAUCAUUUUCUGACAGCAGGAUUUAAGGAUAGCGAUUACUCUAUAUGUAUGUGUGUCCUGACAUUUUGAAAGUUUACCUGUUGCUACAGAAGAGAUAAGUAGCACAAUAUUAAUUUUGUAUUUCAGUGAAGAAGCGAACAUUUAAAAGCCUAUGGCAGAUGUAUGACACAGUCACAGAUGUAGCUAUAAAACAAUUGAAAGGGUCAUUUAAUAGUUCUAACUACACCUUUGAAGCAACCUAAGUAGGUAUUUCACACUAGGCCUGCCGUUUUGGGGGCGAGCAAACUCUGAGAGGUGUAUUGAGGCGUUACGCCACUCGAAGUGUGAAGUGCUUGAAGGGCCUUGGUGGCUGCUCAAGUCACUGGGGGAUGAAUGUGCCACAUUUUCACACUCCCCACCAUCAGUGUCCCUGGGGCUACGCUCUGACCAGAAUUAUAAAAAUACCUUUCCCUUUAUCCUCUCUUUCUGGUAGGAAUAACUGCUGCACAGGGGCCUUGGAGCGGUUCCCUGAAUAAUCUACAAAGUAAAAAGAAAAAAAAAGAGGUGAUACCAUGUAGACCAGCUAUUGCAAAAUAGAGGCGCUUAAAAGUACCACAGGCAGCCGUGGCCUCCAGCCCUUCCUCACGAGGGCCUGAGACGUCGCCCUCCAGCCUGAGGUUCUCUCUGCAACGCUGCGUCCACAUUGCAGGAGGCAGGGGCAGAAGGGACUUACCCCUGGCUUGUGGGUCAAAUGCUGCCCAUAGAUCUCUUGCCAGGUGCCUGUACAUGCCAGUGAUUACACCGGUACCCACCUUGCAGGAAAUUUGUAUUGUAGCGCAACCCUUCAUCGGAGUACUCACAUUUAUUAGACCAGGCAGUAUAAAGGGGGUGAGGCAUUUGCAAGGAGACCGGCUUGCCAAAAAGAGAGAGAGAAUUCGCUUACCAAAAUAAAGCUUCAUUGCACAAAGAAGUUGUAGGUCUGCUUGGAUGUGACAUGAGUUUAAAGAUGGGAAAUUCCCUGAGUUUUUGCUUCUGAUGCAAAGUGCCUUUGCAGGUAACUCCUCUGGCAGGCUGGUUCUUAGCUGCUCCUGCAGACCCUCAGGCAAGUUUUCUGGUCUUGAUGUUUAAAAAAAAAUCUUUAGUUUGGAUAAUUUUUUGUGAUUUGUUCUUCAAAUUCCUCCUUUUUGGCCACCCUUAUUGCAUUUUUACAUUUAAUCUGCCAGAGUUUAUGGUCCUUUCUAUUUAUUCCCUUUGGACACUCCUUUGGUUUUUUGAACUUCUU